UACGUAGGUGGCAAGCGUUGUCCGGAAUUAUUGGGCGUAAAGGGCGCGUAGGCGGUCCGAUAAGUCCUGUGUGAAAUCCCUCGGCUCAACUGAGGAACUGCACGGGAGACUGUCGGGGCUUGAGUUCGGGGAGAGGGAAGCGGAAUUCCGGGUGUAGCGGUGAAAUGCGUAGAUAUCUGGAGGAACACCGGUGGCGAAGGCGGCAUCCUGGACCGACAUUGACGCUGAGGCGCGAAAGCCAGGGGAGCAAACGGG
rnacentral:rRNA from 1 species